rnacentral:lncRNA from 1 species
GGGAUGAUCUGUGGACUGUUCACGAGUACGCACUCAGCAUUGAUGGCAGGCUCAUGGUUCAGAAGAUACCAGACGUCCCUACGGCAUAGGCUGCGCACUCUUUGCGAGUCACUAUUGCUUUAACAUCUGCUACGCUGAAGGCCUGUCAUCGACCCUUGAGUUCCUUCAGAGAGGUUUCCUGAGCAUGAACCCUGACCGUGGCACCAGAGCCAAGCGCUCCAAGUCAGAAGUGAGCAAGAAAGUACUUAACCUGGUCAAGAAAAUAGCAGAGCUGGAGUGGAAUGUGUGAGGCUGUCGGUCAUCCUAUGUGGGAACGAGGCAUGCAACAUGGAGCUCGAGCUCAUUCAACACAAGGUCUUGGCACCAGGAAGAUUUCAGCAGCCAUAAGCAAUGGCACUUGGGUCUAAAUUUGAUCAGAGGGUAUAUGGACCUGGGUCCUCAUCAUCCAAGUAAAUAAAUGUUCUGUUUUUAUUUCUAUCCUACA